CCUACGGGUGGCAGCAGUGGGGGAUAUUGCACAAUGGGGGGAACCCUGAUGCAGCGACGCCGCGUGGGUGAAGAAGCGCCUCGGCGCGUAAAGCUCUGUCAGCAGGGAAGAAAAUUACGGUUACCGAAGAAGUAGCCCCGGCCUACUACGUGCCAGCAGCCGCGGUAAUCCGUAGGGGGCAAGCGUUAGCCGGAUUUACUGGGUGGAAAGGGGGUGCAGGCGGGGAUGCAAGCCAGGAGUGAAAGCCGGGGGCCGAACCCCGGGACUGCCCUUGGAACUGCGGGGCUGGAGUGAUGGAGGGGCAGGCGGAAGUCCUGGUGGAGCGGUGAAAGGCGUAGAUAUCAGGAGGAACACCGGUGGCGAAGGCGGCCUGCUGGACUGCAACUGACGUUGAGGCCCGAAAGCGUGGGGAGCAAACAGGAUUAGAUACCCCAGUAGUC
rnacentral:rRNA from 1 species